rnacentral:rRNA from 1 species
AGCGGGGUGAUCUACCCAUGGCCAGUGUGAAGCAGCAGUAAGAUGCUGUGGAGGCGCGAACCCACGUAGGUUGAAAACUGCGGGGAUGAGCUGUGGGUAGGGGUGAAAGGCCAAUCAAACUCCGUGAUAGCUGGUUCUCCCCGAAAUGCAUUUAGGUGCAGCGUCGCAUUAGCUUGGUGGAGGUAGAGCUACUGGUUGGUUGAGCGGGACUACAAUCUUAGCAAUGUCAGCCAAACUCCGAAUGCCAUUAAUGUGUUGUGCGGCAGUGAGACUGUGGGGGAUAAGCUUCAUAGUCGAGAGGGAAACAGCCCAGAUCGCCGGUUAAGGCCCCUAAGGGUGUGCUAAGUGGAAAAGGAUGUGGGAUCGCGAAGACAGCCAGGAGGUUGGCUUAGAAGCAGCCAUCCUUGAAAGAGUGCGUAAUAGCUCACUGGUCGAGUGGUUCUGCGCCGACAAUGUAGUGGGGCUCAAGCACACCGCCGAAGCCGCGGCAAUAAUAUUUUGUU